rnacentral:rRNA from 1 species
CCGUCCGAUUUGUGAAGUUAAGCGGCCACAGGCCUCGUUAGUACGGCGAUCAGUGACGGCGCUGAACCCGGGGUGCCGUACCCUU